rnacentral:rRNA from 1 species
UUAAGCUACUAAGAGCGUAGGGAGAAUGCCUAGGUACCAAGAGCCGAAGAAAGACGUGAUAAGCUGCGAAAAGCCACGGGGAGGAGCAAAUAUCCAUUAUAUCCGUGGAUUUCUGAAUGAGGAAACUCAACUGACAGAAACAGGUCAGUUAUCUAUACAUGAGUAAAGUAGUGUAUAGAGGGGAACGUGGGGAACUGAAACAUCUAAGUACCCACAGGAAAAGAAAGAAAACUCGAUUCCUAGAGUAGUGGCGAGCGAAAUAGGAAGAGCCCAAACCGGAAGAAGAAAUUCAUCCGGGGUUCGGACUACAUAAUUGAUUCAAUGAGUUUAGUAGAAUUGUUUGGGAAAGCAAACCAGAGACGGUGAAAGUCCAGUAUACGAAAAGCGAAUUGACAAGGUAGUAUCCAGAGUAGUGCGAGACACGUGAAAUCUCGUAUGAAAGAGCGGGGACCACCCCGUAAGGCUAAAUACUAAUUGGUAACCGAUAGUGAAGAAGUACCGUGAGGGAAAGUUGAAAAGAACCCCGGGAGGGGAGUGAAAUAGAACCUGAAACCCUAUGUUUACAAGCAGACAAAGCACGUUAAGGUGCGAUGUCGUACUUUUUGUAGAACGGUCCGGCGAGUUAUUUUAUAUGGCAAGGUUAAGUGCUGAAGGUACGAAGCCGAAGAGAAAUCGAGUCUGAAGAGGGCGUAGAAGUCAUAUGAAAUAGACCCGAAACCGAGUGACCUAUCCAUGUCCAGGUUGAAGCUUGAGUAAAAUCAAGUGGAGGACCGAACCGAUAAGCGUUAAAAAGCUUCCGGAUGAGGUGUGGAUAGCGGAGAAAUUCCAAUCGAACUCGGAGAUAGCUGGUUCUCCUCGAAAUAGUUUUAGGACUAGCCUUGUUUCGUAGCAUGUGGGGGUAGAGCACUGAAUGAGCUAGGGGCCAAACAAGGUUACUGAACUCUAUCAAACUACGAAUACCAUAUGUGUAAGAACAGGAGUCAGACUGCGGGAGCUAAGUUCCGUGGUCAAAAGGGAAAGAGCCCAGAUCGUCAAUUAAGGUCCCAAAGAUAUAGUUAAGUGGAAAACGAUGUGAUUUUGCGUAAACAACCAGGAUGUUGGCUUAGAAGCAGCCAUUCAUUCAAAGAGUGCGUAAUAGCUCACUGGUCGAGUGAAGUUGCGCGGAAAAUUACCGGGGCUAAACUAUACACCGAAAUUGCGGAUUUGUGCAGAUGACACAGGAGCGGAAGAUAAGCGAGGAAGAGGAAAAACUCGUAUCGAAAGAUAUAGUGAAGAUUAAAGUAACGAAUUAUCAAGAAGCUAAUGGCGAGAAAAGUCUGUAGAUAUUGUAUUAAGUACCCGUACCGCAAACCGACACAGGUAGAUGAGGAGAGGAUCCUAAGAUGAGCGAGAGAAGCAUUGUUAAGGAACUCGGCAAACUGACCCCGUAACUUAGGGAGAAGGGGUGCUGGUGUAAAAGCCAGUCGCAGAGAAUAGUCCCAAGCAACUGUUUAACAAAAACACAGGUUUCUGCUAAAUCGAAAGAUGAAGUAUAGGAGCUGACACCUGCCCAGUGCUGGAAGGUUAAGGGAAAGGGUUAGGAGUAAUCCGAAGCCUAGAACUAAAGCCCCAGUGAACGGCGGCCGUAACUAUAACGGUCCUAAGGUAGCGAAAUUCCUUGUCAGGUAAGUUCUGACCCGCACGAAAGGUGUAAUGAUUUGGGAGCUGUCUCGACAAUGUACUCGGCGAAAUUGUAGUACUAGUGAAGAUGCUAGUUACCUGCGACAAGACAGAAAGACCCCAUGGAGCUUUACUGCAGCUUGAUACUGGGUUUCGGUAAUUUAUGUACAGGAUAGGUGGGAUACGAUGAAGCAAGUGCGCCAGCAUUUGUGGAGUAGCCGUUGGGAUACCACCCUUAAAUUAUUGGAAUUCUAACUAGCCGUCAUGAACUGGCGGGAGGACAAUGUCAGGCGGGCAGUUUGACUGGGGCGGUCGCCUCCUAAAGAGUAACGGAGGCGCGCAAAGGUUUCCUCAGCGCGGACAGAAAUCGCGCGAAAGAGUGCAAAGGCAGAAGGAAGCUUAACUGAGAGACUGACAAGUCGACCAGAUACGAAAGUAGGUCUUAGUGAUCCGGUGGUUGUAAGUGGAAAUGCCAUCGCUCAACGGACAAAAGUUACCCUGGGGAUAACAGGCUUAUCUCCCCCAAGAGUUCACAUCGACGGGGAGGUUUGGCACCUCGAUGUCGGCUCAUCACAUCCUGGAGCGGAAGUACGUUCCAAGGGUUGGGCUGUUCGCCCAUUAAAGUGGUACGCGAGCUGGGUUCAGAACGUCGUGAGACAGUUCGGUCCUUAUCUGUCGCAGGCGGAGGAUAUUUGAAGGGAGUUGACCUUAGUACGAGAGGACCAGGUUGAAGGAACCGAUGGUGCACCAGUUGUACUACCAAGUGCAUAGCUGGAUAGCUAAGUUCCGAAGGGAUAAACGCUGAAAGCAUCUAAGUGUGAAGCCCACCCUAAGAUAAGAUAUCCCAUAUCGUAAGAUAGUAAGAUUCCAUUAAGACUAAAUGGUUGAUAGGUUGGAGGUGUAAGUAUAGUGAUAUAUUGAGCUGACCAAUACUAAUAAAUCGAGGGCUUAACUAU